CUCUCUGGCCCAGACCCUCGGCUAUUGUUCAGGCUUACUGUGAAGCGUUUUCUUGAAGACUCGGAGAAAGAGGACCUAAACAUCACUGUCAAAAAGCAGAAAACGGAUGCUCUCCCCAUGCAGAAGCAGGAGCAGAUACCACUGACGUAUGUCCUAGAGAAGAGAACUGCAGGCUGAACGGAAGUGGGUGAAUCGUGGGCUCCAUGAGCAGCACAGUGGACCUUUUCCUUAUUACGCAACUUUUAAAAAUGAUGUUUUCAAGGAAAAAAAAAAAAGAAUGUUCAAAGGCCAAGUCACUUAUAUUAUAGAUAUUAUCUGGAUUUUUCUAGGUUUUUAUCUUUCAUGAAAUAUUAAUGUGUUUCCACCUAUUUUAAAAUACUGCCAAUGAGGAAAACAUCACAGAAUAAAUUGAUAUUAUGCAUUUCACUG
rnacentral:lncRNA from 1 species